rnacentral:rRNA from 1 species
CGGAGGGUGCAAGCGUUAUCCGGAUUCACUGGGUUUAAAGGGUGCGUAGGUGGGCUUGUAAGUCAGUGGUGAAAUCUCCGGGCUUAACCCGGAAACUGCCAUCGAUACUAUAGGUCUUGAAUUAUCUGGAGGUCAGCGGAAUAUGUCAUGUAGCGGUGAAAUGCUUAGAUAUGACAUAGAACACCACUUGCGAAGGCAGCUGGCUACAGGUAUAUUGACACUGAGGCACGAAAGCGUGGGGAUCAAACAGGAUUAGAUACCCUGGUAGUCCACGCCCUAAACGAUGGAUACUCGACAUUUGUGAUACACAAUAAGUGUCUGAGCGAAAGCAUUAAGUAUCCCACCUGGGAAGUACGACCGCAAGGUUG